AAUGAACGUUGGCGGCGUGGAUUAGGCAUGCAAGUCGAGCGUGUACCCCGCAAGGGGGAAAGCGGCGUAAGGGAGAGUAAUACGUAGAUACGUGCCUCCGGGUCUGGGAUAGCCACGGGAAACUGUGGGUAGUACCGGAUAAUGUCUGAGGACCAAAGGUGUGAUUCCACCUGGAGAUCGGUCUGCGUCCUAUCAUGCUUGUUGGUGAGGUAACGGCUCACCAAGGCUACGACGGGUACGGGGAGUGAGAGCUUGCCCCCGCUCACUGGGACUGAGACACUGCCCAGACACCUACGGGUGGCUGCAGUCGAGGAUCUUCGGCAAUGGGCGCAAGCCUGACCGAGCGACGCCGCGUGCGGAUGAAGGCCUUCGGGUUGUAAACCGCUGUCAGUGGGGAGGAAGGCUCCGUGAAGAACGGGGUUUGACCUAUCCGCAGAGGAAGUGUGGGCUAAGUUCGUGCCAGCCGCCGCCGUAA
rnacentral:rRNA from 1 species